CAAUAGCGUAUAUUUAAGUUGUUGCAGUUAAAAAGCUCGUAGUCGGAUUUUGGCUGAGAACGAUCGGUCCGCCGUUAGGUGUGCACUGAUUGGUCUCAGCUUCCUGGUGAGGAGGUGUGCUUCACGGCCACUUAGUCACCGUGGUUACUUUGAAAAAAUUAGAGUGUUCAAAGCGGGCUUACGCUUGAAUAUAUUAGCAUGGAAUAACACCAUAGGACUCCUGUCCUAUUUCGUUGGUCUCGGGACGGGAGUAAUGAUUAAGAGGAACAGUUGGGGGCAUUCGUAUUUCAUUGUCAGAGGUGAAAUUCUUGGAUUUAUGAAAGACGAACUUCUGCGAAAGCAUUUGUCAAGGAUGUUUUCAUUAA
rnacentral:rRNA from 1 species